rnacentral:lncRNA from 1 species
CCGAUCACUGAGCCACUUCUGGUAAGUAUCUCUGACUGUUCCACAUGCAUUGACAGCUGGCUCCUCAGGUGCAGGAUCCAUUAUCACAUAUAGGAUCCGUUCAUGCUCCAGGACUAUCUUCAACUUUCAGUACCAGCUACCGAAGUUGGGUCCCACCAACUUAUCAUUGUCCAACAAUGAUCGGAGCGAUAGGGAAGUGGCCAUAU